AACCACAUAGCUUGCUCGAAUCUGAUCAUUUAAGUUCCAGAUUACUUCGCAGCAAGCGUUCAACUUUUCCUCAACGGACAUGUAGAGUUGUUCUCUAUGAAAGAGAUACAUCAUGCACCUUAUUUUGAUCUCUUCCAUGAUAAGUAAGGUUUCUUCGCUUCUCUUGAAUCGGGGUCCUAUUGACACCACCCUUGGUGUGUAUGCAUCCUCGUUUGAUUUUUUAAGUAAUUCAGGAACAAUCGAAAUGCUACGUGAUUGAAUGUAACCGACAUAGUAGACAGAACUUUG
rnacentral:lncRNA from 1 species